rnacentral:rRNA from 1 species
AUGCUCAACUGUCACCCCGUUGCUACUCCUGCUGACACGAAGGCCAAGGUUUCUGCUCUUGAGGGCUCUCCAGCGUCGGAUGCUCCUUUCUACCGGUCUAUCGUUGGUGCUCUUCGGUAUCUGACUCUCACCAGACCGGAUCUUCAGUAUGCUGUUCAGCAGGUGUGUCUCCACAUGCACGCCCCUCGUGAGUCCCAUUGGACCCUCGUGAAGCGGAUACUCCUUUACAUUCGCGGCACGAUGACCCUUGGACUCACCCUCACGGCAUCCACUUCUCUAGAGAUGAUGGCCUACUCCGACGCGGACUGGGCUGGCUGCCCAGACACUCGUCGGUCCACCUCUGGCUACUGCGUCUACCUCGGUCCUUCACUCGUUUCGUGGUCGUCCAAGCGACAACCCACGGUUUCGCGCUCCAGCGCGGAGGCUGAGUACCGAGCUGUGGCUAACGCUGUUGUGAGUGCACCUGGCUAUGACAGUUACUUCAGGAGCUGCAUCAUGACGUCUCCCAGGCUACAGUUGUCUACUGCGACAAUGUUUCUGCGGUGUACCUCUCCGCCAACCCCGUUCAUCAUCGCUGGACUAAACACAUUGAGCUAG